rnacentral:sRNA from 1 species
ACACAAGAAAAAAGUCACGGAAGAAUAGA